rnacentral:rRNA from 1 species
AUUGAACGCUGGCGGCAUGCCUUACACAUGCAAGUUGAACGGCAGCACGGGAGCAAUCCUGGUGGCGAGUGGCGAACGGGUGAGUAAUAUAUCGGAACGUGCCCAGUCGUGGGGGAUAACGCAGCGAAAGCUGUGCUAAUACCGCAUACGAUCUACGGAUGAAAGCGGGGGAUCGCAAGACCUCGCGCGAUUGGAGCGGCCGAUAUCAGAUUAGCUAGUUGGUGAGGUUAAGGCUCACCAAGGCGACGAUCUGUAGCUGGUCUGAGAGGACGACCAGCCACACUGGAACUGAGACACGGUCCAGACUCCUACGGGAGGCAGCAGUGGGGAAUUUUGGACAAUGGGCGAAAGCCUGAUCCAGCAAUGCCGCGUGCAGGAUGAAGGCCUUCGGGUUGUAAACUGCUUUUGUACGGAACGAAACGGUGAGCUCUAAUACAGUUUGCUAAUGACGGUACCGUAAGAAUAAGCACCGGCUAACUACGUGCCAGCCGCCGCCGUAA